UAUAGACAAUCUUAAAAAACUAAACAGUUGGAAGGAUACAGAGGAGAUUAGCAUGGCCCCUGUUCAAGGACGACAUGCAAUUUCAUGAGAAGUUCCGUAUUUUU
rnacentral:snRNA from 1 species